UACGACCAGAUCACGCUGAAACACAGAUUCCUGUACGAUCACCGAAGUUAAGCAACGUCAAGCCUGGUCAGUACCUGAAUGCCUGACCACUUGGAAAUAUCAGGUUCUGU